UACGUGGGGGGCAAGCGUUGUCCGGAAUCAUUGGGCGUAAAGAGCGUGUAGGCGGUCCGGUAAGUCGGCUGUGAAAGUCCAGGGCUCAACCCUGGGAUGCCGGUCGAUACUGCCGGACUAGAGUUCGGAAGAGGCGAGUGGAAUUCCCGGUGUGGCGGUGAAAUGCGCAGAUAUCGGGAGGAACACCUAUGGCGAAGGCAGCUCGCUGGGACGUUACUGACGCUGAGACGCGAAAGCGUGGGGAGCAAACAGG
rnacentral:rRNA from 1 species